rnacentral:misc_RNA from 1 species
AAAAAACUUUCCACGUGAACCGUAUCAACCUUUUUAAUUUGGGGGCUUCCGUCUGGCCGGCCGGUUUUCGGCUGGCUGGGUGGCGGCUCUAUCAUGGCGACCGCUUGGCCUCGGCCUGGGCUAGUAGCGUAUUUUUAAACCCAUUCCUAAUUACUGAAUAUACUGUGGGGACGAAAGUCUCUGCUUUUAA